rnacentral:rRNA from 1 species
CCUUUGGAGGGUUUGAUCCUGGCUCAGAGUGAACGCUGGCGGCGUGGAUUAGGCAUGCAAGUCGAGCGAUCCUUGUUGCCAAGAGGAAUUGAAGUCUUCGGAUGGAUGUUCUUUAAGGUGACGCUGGAUAGCGGCAAACGGGUGAGGAACACGUGGGUAAAGUACCUUGUGGUGGGGCAUAGCCUCGAGAAAUCGAGGGUAAUUCCCCGUAAUCCCUGGAACCUGGAAUGGUCCAGGGCAAAGAUGGCCUCUACUUGUAAGCUAUCACCGUAAGAGCAUCCCGCGUCCUAUCAGGUAGUUGGUAGGGUAACGGCCUACCAAGCCUUAGACGGGUAGCUAGCGUAAGAGCGUGUUUAGCCACACCGGGACUGAGACACUGCCCGGACUCCUACGGGAGGCUGCAGUCGAGAAUCUUUCACAAUGGACGAAAGUCUGAUGAUGCGACGCCGCGUGGGGGAUGAAGGUUUUCGGAUUGUAAACCCCUUUUAUUGGGGAGGAAUGUUGUCGGGUGAAUAAUCUGACAAUUUGACUGUACCCGAUGAAUAAGCCACGGCUAACUCCGUGCCAGCAGCCGCGGUAAUACGGAGGUGGCAAGCGUUACUCGGUAUGACUGGGUGUAAAGGGUCC